UACGUAGGGACCAAGCGUUGUUCGGAUUUACUGGGCGUAAAGGGCGCGUAGGCGGCUUGACAAGUCACUUGUGAAAUCUCCGGGCUUAACUCGGAACGGCCAAGUGAAACUGUCAUGCUAGAGUGCAGAAGGGGCAAUCGGAAUUCUUGGUGUAGCGGUGAAAUGCGUAGAUAUCAAGAGGAACACCUGAGGUGAAGACGGGUUGCUGGGCUGACACGUGACGCUGAGGCGCGAAAGCCAGGGGAGCAAACGGG
rnacentral:rRNA from 1 species